ACCAAACCAUUAAGGGCCUGCCUCGUAGGGUGGUGCAGCAGAGAAGCCGAAACACAGAGCAGGCCCAGGAGGGGUUUGCACGGUUCCUUCACCAAACCACAGCUGUGCGUGGUCCUCCCUCACCUUGGUCAGAGCCUCGUGGAGUGCUGCCACGGGGAUGUGAAGUGUCCUGUGUCAGUCCAUGUCCAAACAGUGUGCUCUAGUGCGUUCAUGUGGUGCAGUUUCCUCUGCCGUACAGAACCUGAUGGGUGUCUGCCUGGAGCUGGAUAUCCUGCGGCACGAGGUGAGCAGCGAGCGAUGGUUUUUCUCACGCUCUGAGUGGUGGUUCACGUCUGCCUGUGGUCCGGUGUCACUGUCGGUCCAGCUGCUGUUACUUCCACCAAGAGGAGCAACCCUCUGCUUGUUGGCAUUAUCCUUUGUGUGACUGCACAGUGACCCGAUCCAUCCGAGAGCCAGGGGAAAAACAAAGUGCAGGGAGGGCGGGGGGAAGUUAGUUUUCAGUGGGAUCAGUUCCUUGCUCCAAACACUUGCAUAAGCGAGACAGAAGACUUGGCCUGGGCACAAGAACAAACAGCGUGGGCACAGAGGGAACACAGUGUCCACACCAGCUCAAACUGGUACUGGUAUCUUGUAUGUCAGAAGAUACCCUGAGGGCUCUUGAUGUGAAAGUUGUUGAGCCGUAAUCUUCCACACCUAGACACUUCUGAACUUACCCGGGACGGCCACAACUACACUUUAGGCUUCCUCCAUGGAAGUGGAUCUGUUAAGUCCAUGGUUUGCCCUUGAGAUUUUUGUCACACGUUGAAGCCUUGACCAUCCAAACAGUACAAACCUAAAUUUUACGUGCAGUGCAUAAGGUAGGAGCCACACACCAGGCUGCUUUCACCUACUGCUUUUUGCUGGAUAGAAAACCGCCACAGCUCAGCUCGGGGCCUGGAAGAGGAACAUCAACGCAAGGGUUCCUUGGCUUCAGCCUCUGUGUGCCUUUGGAUGGGGACACCACCCCUUCCUGCGGGUGUGACGGGAUGUUUGGAAAGGCAGGUGGGAAGGCAGGGAGAAUUGUGGCUGGAGCAGAACUCAGCAAAGCUGCUGGAAGGCCACUUGGAACAGUUGCAGCGCAUUGACCCAGUGAGAUAGAUCUGUGUAGCUCGUUUGGAUGUGUGGAGAGGGAAGUCAAGCUUGAAACUUAAACCUGGAGCUGUGUGCUGCAUGCA